rnacentral:rRNA from 1 species
AUUGAACGCUGGCGGCAGGCCUAACACAUGCAAGUCGAACGAGUGGCGGACGGGUGAGUAAUGUCUGGGAAACUGCCCGAUGGAGGGGGAUAACUACUGGAAACGGUAGCUAAUACCGCAUACCAUCGGAUGUGCCCAGAUGGGAUUAGCUUGUAGGUGAGGUAACGGCGCACCUAGGCGACGAUCCCUAGCUGGUCUGAGCGGAUGACCGGCCACACUGAAACUGAGACACGGUCCUGACUCCGACGGGAGGCAGCAGUGGGGAAUAUUGCACGAUGAGCGCAAGCCAAAUGCAGCCAAGCCGCGUGUAUGAGGAAGGCCUUCGGGUUGUAAAGUACUUUCAGCGGGGAGGCGUUACCCGCAGAAGAAGCACCGGCUAACUCCGUGCCAGCGACCGCGGUAAUUC